CUGUCCUUCAUGACAACAGAACCACAACAACCAUGACUUUUAUCACCAUCUUCAUCUGGAUAUUUGCUUUCUGCUUUCAAGGAUCCAAAGGACAGCACACUGUGACUCAGACUCCUUCAGUGGAAACUGUUCUCCCAGGACAGAUGGUCUCCCUUAAGUGUAAAACCAGCAGUAAUGUUUACAACAAUGACUUUUUAGCCUGGUACCAACAGAAACCUGGAGGAGCUCCUAAACUCCUUAUUUACUAUGCUACAACACUUCAGUCUGGGACUCCGUCUAGAUUCAGUGGUAGUGGAUCUGGGAGUGACUUCACUCUGACCAUCAGUGAAGUCCAGGCUGAAGAUGCAGGAGAUUACUACUGUCAGAGUGCACACCUUGUAAGUGCCUGGGUGUUCACACAGUGAUAUAGUGCCGUACAAAAACCUCCCUCAGAUGUCACAGUAACUGCACUAUUUGGGUGUGACUGCAGAUGCUGAGGGGGAAGAGAUAGUGACAUGGAACACUGGCUGAACUAAAAUACACUGAGCUAAAUAUAUCAGUGAUGCUGACUAUGUCAACUUAUCCCCCCUCAUGUUAAAUCAUUCCUUAAGUGAUAACAACCGUAUGUCUGGAUUGCAAUAGUAUUCCUCCCAUUUUGCUCAUGUGUAAACAUUGCCUUAACAUGUGACAUAAUAUAUUGAACGGACUAUUUGCAACAAUAGUAAUGUCUCACAUCAUUUCAGAAU